UCCGUAGGCGGAUCAAUAAGUCAGAGGUGAAAUCCCACAGCUUAACUGUGGAACUGCCUUUGAUACUGUUGGUCUUGAGUUAUAUGGAAGUAGAUAGAAUGUGUAGUGUAGCGGUGAAAUGCAUAGAGAUUACACAGAAUACCGAUUGCGAAGGCAGUCUACUACGUAUAUACUGACGCUAAUGGACGAAAGCGUGGGGAGCGAACAGGAUUAGAUACCCUGGUAGUCC
rnacentral:rRNA from 1 species